rnacentral:rRNA from 1 species
UACGGAAGGCAGCAGUGGGGAAUAUUGCACAAUGGGCGCAAGCCUGAUGCAGCCAUGCCGCGUGUAUGAAAAAGGCCUUCGGGUUGUAAAGUACUUUCAGUCGUGAGGAAGGUGUUAAGGUUAAUAACCUUAGCAAUUGACGUUAGCGACAGAAGAAGCACCGGCUAACUCCGUGCCAGCAGCCGCGGUAAUACGGAGGGUGCGAGCGUUAAUCGGAAUUACUGGGCGUAAAGGGCACGCAGGCGGUUAAUUAAGUUGGAUGUGAAAUCCCCGGGCUUAACCUGGGAAUGGCAUUCAAGACUGGUUAGCUAGAGUCUUGUAGAGGGGGUUAGAAUUCCAUGUGUAGCGGUGAAAUGCGUAGAGAUGUGGAGGAAUACCGGUGGCGAAGGCGGCCCCUGGACAAAGACUGACGCUCAUGUGCGAAAGCGUGGGGAGCAAACGAGGGAUUAGAUACCCG